GACAUAUACAGGUAAUAAUAUACAGGUAAUAUAGGAUAUAUACAGAUAAAGUAGGAUAUAUACAGGGAAUAUACGUACAGGUAAUAUAGGAUAUAUAAAGGUGAGAUACUGUCUGAUGUCAUGAUGCUUCUGUUAUACAUGAUGUGAUAGAUUCUCACAUCAGUUCAGUUUUGAGCUGUUGUUUUUUAUUUCUAUGUUUAUAUAUCGAUUGAUCUGUGUUGAUCUAAUGCUCUAUAACUGAUCAGUGUCAGUGCUGUUCAAUAAUAACUAAUAUCUGACUGGAAAUACUGACUUUGAGGGAAAACUGUUCAUAAAGGACAUUUUUUUAACCUGAAUUAUUCCAUUUCAGUUUGGUUUUGAGGUCUUUGAGUCGCCUGGUUCUACUGUUCAUCCACCUGUUCCCUGUUCGCUCGUACAUCACACGUCAAAACUAUUUGGAAAGAACUUUUGGAAAAAACAACACCAACAUUUGUACAGAAAACACCAGCAGCAUCUUCAUUCAUUCAUCUGUUCAUUCAUUCAUUUAUUCUCUUCUGCUUCAGUCAUAUGACACAGGAUUCAUUUUUCAGCAGGUGAUUAAAUAUUAGUCAGUUUUACUUAUUCAUGUAUUUUUUUUUUUUUUUUUUAUUUCAGUCGGAGCUUUUUGGAUCCGAUCAAAGGCAGAUCAGUCACUUUCCUCCCCGUUCUAAAAAUGUUCAUAAAAAUGGAAUAAUAUAAAACACUUCUGCAGAUUUUGGUGAUUCCUCUGCAGUUUUAUACCAAUACAGUGAAAAACAGUGUGUUUUUAUCCUCUAACCUGAACUGAAAUUAUCAUUAUGUUCUUUUUUUUUUAUAGAUAAAUCUUGUUAUUUGACAACAGAAGUGUGAUCUUUAUAUACAAUGGCACAAAUGGUCCAUUCAGAGUCUAUUUUUACCAGUGAAGAAGUGAAUAAGUUACAGUUUAACAACACUGUGCAGUAGAAUAAUGACUGCACUGAGUUAUAAAACUGGGAUUAUUCCUGUUUAUUUGAUCUUUAUGGGUGUAAUGUGUAUUUUAAAAGUUACUGUAACUGAGAACAGUCUGAACAGAAAAGACUGAACAGUUUAUUAUUCUGUUGUUUGUACUUGUUUGAUCAUUUUCAGCUGAAUUGAACAACAAACUCCUCAUUUCACACAUUUAAUCUAUAAAUAAAUGUUACACUGCUACGACGA